rnacentral:rRNA from 1 species
AACGAACGCUGGCGGCAGGCCUAACACAUGCAAGUCGAGCGAGGUAGCAAUACCUAGCGGCGGACGGGGGAGUAACGCGUGGGAACGUGCACCUUGGUUCGGAAUAGCCCCGGGAAACUGGGAGUAAUACCGUAUGCGCUCUACGAAGGAGAGAUUUAUCGCCAAGGGAUAGGCGGGCGUUGGUUUAGGUAGUUGGUGGGGUAAUGGCCUACCAAGCCGACGAUCCGUAGCUGUUUUGAGAGGAUGAUCAGCCACACGGGGACUGAUACACGGCCCAGACUCCUACAGGAGGCAGCAGUGGGGAAUCUUGGACAAUGGGCGCAAGCCUGAUCUAGCCAUGCCGCGUGAGCGAUGAAGGCCUUAGGGUUGUAAAGCUCUUUCAUCUGGGAAGAUAAUGACUGUACCAGCAGAAGAAGCCCCGGCUAACUCCGUGCCAGCCGCCGCGGUAAAAC